CAGUCGCGUUCUCUGGGAUUCAGCCUUGCUUCUUGCUUGGUGCAUUUCCUAGUCUACGGGCCAGCAUGAAUCUUGAGCGGUGGAAAAGGGUCUUGGGAAUGUGGCCGGUUCGCCGGUGUUAAGCCCUGGACUUGAUACGGCUCAGACUGAGGAACGCAGCUCGCAGCAAUGCCGGGGUUCGCCCACGUACGAGCUUAGGAUGUUGACAUAAUGGCUUUAAACGCCCGUCUUGAAACACGGACCAAGGAGUCUAACAUAUAUGCGAG
rnacentral:rRNA from 1 species